GCACCGGCUAACUCCGUGCCAGCAGCCGCGGUAAUACGGAGGGUGCGAGCGUUAAUCGGAAUUACUGGGCGUAAAGCGCAUGCAGGUGGUUUGUUAAGUCAGAUGUGAAAGCCCGGGGCUCAACCUCGGAAUAGCAUUUGAAACUGGCAGACUAGAGUACUGUAGAGGGGGGUAGAAUUUCAGGUGUAGCGGUGAAAUGCGUAGAGAUCUGAAGGAAUACCGGUGGCGAAGGCGGCCCCCUGGACAGAUACUGACACUCAGAUGCGAAAGCGUGGGGAGCAAACAGGAUUAGAUACCCUGGUAGUCCACGCCGUAAACGAUGUCUACUUGGAGGUUGUGGCCUUGAGCCGUGGCUUUCGGAGCUAACGCGUUAAGUAGACCGCCUGGGGAGUACGGUCGCAAGAUUAAAACUCAAAUGAAUUGACGGGGGCCCGCACAAGCGGUGGAGCAUGUGGUUUAAUUCGAUGCAACGCGAAGAACCUUACCUACUCUUGACAUCCAGAGAACUUUCCAGAGAUGGAUUGGUGCCUUCGGGAACUCUGAGACAGGUGCUGCAUGGCUGUCGUCAGCUCGUGUUGUGAAAUGUUGGGUUAAGUCCCGCAACGAGCGCAACCCUUAUCCUUGUUUGCCAGCGAGUAAUGUCGGGAACUCCAGGGAGACUGCCGGUGAUAAACCGGAGGAAGGUGGGGACGACGUCAAGUCAUCAUGGCCCUUACGAGUAGGGCUACACACGUGCUACAAUGGCGCAUACAGAGGGCGGCCAACUUGCGAAAGUGAGCGAAUCCCAAAAAGUGCGUCGUAGUCCGGAUUGGAGUCUGCAACUCGACUCCAUGAAGUCGGAAUCGCUAGUAAUCGUGGAUCAGAAUGCCACGGUGAAUACGUUCCCGGGCCUUGUACACACCGCCCGUCACACCAUGGGAGUGGGCUGCAAAAGAAGUAGGUAGUUUAACCUUCGGGGGGACGCUUACCACUUUGUGGUUCAUGACUGGGGUGAAGUCGUAACAAGGUAGCGCUAGGGGAACCUGGCGCUGGAUCACCUCCUUA
rnacentral:rRNA from 1 species